CUCGUGCACCUGCGGGUCAUGUCAAAGUGCCGGUAUCAUCGUAUCGACAUCAGCGUCGCGCGCAUCGGUCCUAUCUCUCCUGUUCUCAUUUAUUUAUCGUACGGAAAUUUCGCUGAUUAGUAUCGUGCGACCAGCACUAAUGCGUUGUUUCGUAAUUUAUUGAUUUUAACGCUCGCGUCGCGCCAUUGAACAUGCCGUGAAUGCGUGCGUGGAAACUCGCGAGUGCAGCGGGAUUGUCAACAGAUGUGGAAUGGAAAAAGAUAAAGUGGAGGAAAAGAAAAAAGGUGUCGAAAAAGUGUUGGGUACAGUUGCUUGUGUGAAUACAAAAAAAAAACUAUCGGACAAGCCCAUCAUAUUAUUCUAUUGGGAUAGUGAGGAACUUCAAGUAAUCGGGCAGAACUUGUCGGCUCUUAGCAGUAGAUAUCGCAAAAGAUGGGCUUUAAGGCAGAGAUGGAAAUGGACAAAGUUUUCACGGUGUGCUUGAGCCAACACUAAAGAACCCCAGGCAGCGUCACUCUGGCUAUAUAGAGAAGCAGCAUACAGAAGUACCAGGAGCGUCGAGUCCUUCGACUCUCAGGUUGUCUCGGCUCCGGGGCAAGUAGUCGACUUGGUGCAAUUCGGGUGGCGCUUCGCAUAAACUCGCCGCGCGAUACACUUGGCGCUCGUCCUGAAUCGCGCGACUCGCUUUCGGGCCGGUGCAAGAUAAAGUUAACUUCAUUCCGUAGGUGUUGGGUUAGGCUAGUCAUCCCCUCCCUGCGACUCUCAUGAGCUCCCACAUACCAGCAGAGCUAGCUAGAGCGGUAAAGUGCCGCCCGGUAAUGGGGUGGGUUUAGCUAGUGUGCCUAGGGUGAGGAGUUGGGGCUCGGGGUGGAAGGAGUUGGAUCACGGGGGAUGAAGUGACGUAGUAAGGGAGCGAGACGGAGAGAACGAGGGGUGCCACCACCUAGCCGAGAGAUUGGAUCCCGGAAAUGAGACAAACUGAUGCUAGUUCGACCUGUUAAGAGGGGUACCCAUGGUCCAGCUGACUUAUGAGGAUCCUGUCGCUGGUCAGCUACUUCCGGUACGAUUACCGUUAUAUAACGCAAUACGCGAAACCUCCAUUAGAGCAACACUGGUGUUAAUAUGGCGUCUGAGUGGCCGAAGUGUCCUUUAUCUUCAUAAGAGUGAAGUUGCGCGGUCAGGACGCUGAAUGGAGUUCGUCCCAGGCUACCUGGGUGCUUCCGAAUUUUUACGGAGGUCAAAGGUCAUACCGGGGACCCCGGAUAGUUGACAGUGGAGGUACGCGGUCAUCUCUAGCCGAGAGGGAUGAUGGUGAGAAACUGGUCUCGGCAGGGGAGUAGCUGCCGUCUCAUGAAAACACGAUGGAUGCGCGGCUGUCGUCUUUUCCAUCCCGCAGCGACCAUCCGUCAACCCUUUUGAAAGUUGACGCGAAGCCAGACACACGUGGCCCUGGACAAGAUCAGCGUAGUAACACAAGGACGAGGAUACGUUGCAUUCGUAGUCGCGCUCCCACGAGGUGUCCGUGAACGAGCACGCACGCUUCCCUCAUUGUGUGGCGCGCAUUAUGCAGUGGGCUGUAGCGCGACAACAGCGCAACCUGGUAGUCAGGUGAUAAAUGAUUCGAUCACCGGUUGAUAGAUGCACGCUACCGGUGUUGCAAGCUGGUGCUUGCACCUCCUGGUGCAUUGUCGUCGAGCGGAUACUACCCUAAGAAAAAGCUUUGACCGUAAGUGCAAAGAAAUUGCCAAACAAAGCUAUACGUCAUAUGAAAAAAAAAACUUCCCAAAAAAAGAAAGGGAUGUUUCAAGCUAAAAAAAGACAGCCUGCAGAAUACGCAAAGUGCACGUGUGCAUAAGGGCGGCGGGGAGGGGUUACGAAUUGAAUAAGACGCGGUUUGUAUAAAAGGUGCCGGAGGCUGUGCCAAGUAUCUAGGUGUCGCUUGAGGGUUGAAGGUGAUGUUUGGGAAGGUGAAGGUUGUCGAGGGCUGGAGUGGGGCAGCGUUUAAUAUAUUCGAGGUCCGGGCAUCUAUCCAUCACUGAACGUAGCGGUGGCUCGCAUCAUCCCCCGGGGCGGAUAAAUACUUAUUUAACGCGCUUAUGCAUGCAGCCGCGGUAGCGAUACGACCCGUAAAUCUGUCCGAGGAAGCACAAUGCUGCUAAUUAUAUACAUUCCCGUGACGCGGCCGCUAGCGAACGAGCGACCUCUGGUACACCCCAGCCCCAACACUGGCCUGCUGGAACCCCCGGCUCAAAAGACUCGCAGAUUUAUUGCCAAAGAGGACGGAAAAUGUCGACCUAAGCUCAUAUGUACGGGCUUGGCAGUUUGUAUGCCCGCGCACUCUCCGUCGAGAGGAUGAGGAGAGAGCAAGAGAGAGAGAGAGAGAAUGAAGAGUGCCAGAGCUAUCGGUGGGGUGGGUAUAGAGGCAGAGAGUGACUGAGAGGGUCAGAGUGAAGUCAUGAGACUUGGUUAGAAGGAGAGAGAGACAAGAAGAGGGUGAGAGUGAGGACGACGCAGAGACGGUGACGGCGACGCCGACGCCUAGCGGUCAGGGGUCUCGGGGUCGGAGGAGGUUGGUUCCUAGGCCGGGGGAUUGAAAGAGGGACGCCAAAGGAGGCAGGGAGUAUAGCGAGUGCGAUAGGGAGCUCGGAAGGGUGGGACGCAGGAAAGAGAACGAAGCUAUAAAUUCCAUCCCUCUCCGUCUCCGCUCGUCGUGCUAUAUCGCUGAUUUAUAAAUAUGACUGUAGCGAAGUAUAAUAAUACGUACGUACCCACCGAGCCGAGUCAGGGCGCCCUCUUUCCCAGCCCCCCUUGCCCACCAUAACCUCCUUCACGUCCUCGGCCUCCUGGUGCUCCUCUCUCUCUCUCUCUCUCUCUCUCUCUGGGUCCAGCUCUCCUCACUCAAACUGCUUCGCUCCUUCAUCUCGACUUCCUAUACUCUCAUCUUUCUCUACGUCGGAUACACAGGCAUCUACCUAAC